CCUACGGGUGACAGCAGUGAGGAAUAUUGGUCAAUGGACGAGAGUCUGAACCAGCCAAGUAGCGUGAAGGAUGACUGCCCUAUGGGUUGUAAACUUCUUUUAUAUGGGAAUAAAAUGUUCCACGUGUGGGAUUUUGUAUGUACCAUAUGAAUAAGGAUCGGCUAACUCCGUGCCAGCAGCCGCGGUAAUACGGAGGAUCCGAGCGUUAUCCGGAUUUAUUGGGUUUAAAGGGAGCGUAGGUGGAUUGUUAAGUCAGUUGUGAAAGUUUGCGGCUCAACCGUAAAAUUGCAGUUGAAACUGGCAGUCUUGAGUACAGUAGAGGUGGGCGGAAUUCGUGGUGUAGCGGUGAAAUGCUUAGAUAUCACGAAGAACUCCGAUUGCGAAGGCAGUUCACUGAACUGCAACUGACACUGAGGCUCGAAAGUGUGGGUAUCAAACAGGAUUAGAUACCCUUGUAGUC
rnacentral:rRNA from 1 species